ensembl:lncRNA
CCUCCCCCAGCACUGCUUUGUCAGCAUGCACUCACUCACAGCCACCCCUCCACUGCUUUGCUGUGAGCUUUUGUGUGGGCAGACAUUGCUUCCUUCCCCUUGCAAGGGCAGUGUGUGCCCAUGCCCAUGCACCGUGCUACACCACUGCUGCUGGCAUGACUGUACUCCAUCCCCCUCCACCACCACUGUGCCACUGGUGUGAACACAUGUCCAGAUGCCAGCGAUUUUGCCCACUCUCUGUGCUGCCAUCACUAACAAGCACACAGACAUCAACAACACUGACCCCCACCCGGAGCAACAACCACUACUGCUGCAAAAGCACACACAAAAGAAAGCCAGCAUGCUGAGGUGAACCAAUGUCCUGCAUCCUCUGCUGCUACCUCCAACAGCAUCAGCAUGUACAUGAAGGCCAUAGCCCCAUCCCCACUGGUAUCCAACCCCAGUCAACACACAUGCACCCUGCAGUACUGCCACUGCUGCUCCUACACACGAAUGAGCACAGAUCUCAUUGCUACUGCCCCAGUGAUGUUCUUGGCCAGCACCACCCAUCAGAGUGUUGUGGACAGUGGUCCGAAAAUACUUUGACACCCCUAAUACCUCAGGGUCAUAACCUCCAAGGUUCAAAGAACAAAGCUGGGGCCCUAAUAAUCGGUACCCAGAAUUGGAGCAUGCAGCCCAGAAGUGUGGAGCUGAGCCUUGGCUGCCUAAAAUCAUACAAAAUUGAAGCCAGACGACUAUAUCCACCUCUUGCCACGAUCAAACCAUUAAAGGCAUAAAAAAAAGAUAAAAUCAAAAGAACACAUUCAAAGGAUGCAAGGUUGGUUCAACACAUGCAAAUCAAUAAAUGUGAUUUAUCACAUAAACAGAUGUAAAGACAAAAACCACAUCAUCAUCUCAAUAGAUGCAGAAAAGGCUUUCAAUAAAACUAAACAUCCCUUCAUGUUAGAAACCCUCAACAAACUAGGAAUUGAAGGAAUAUAUUUCAAAAUGAUAAGAGCCAUCUAUAACAAAUCUACAGCCAACAUCAUACGAAUGGGCAAAAGCUGGAACCAUUCCCCUUGAAAACCAGCACAAGAUAAGGAUACUCUCUCGCACAACUUCUAUUUAACAUAGUACUGAAAGGCCUAGCCAGAGCAUUCAGGCAAGAGAAAGAAAUAGAAGGUAUCCAACUAGGAAAAGAAGAAGUCAAACUAUCUAUGUUUGCAGACGAAAUGUUUCUAUACCUAGAAAACCCCACAGUCUCAGUCCCGAAACUCCUCGAUCUGAUAAAGAACUUCAAAGUUUCAGGAUACAGAAUCAAUGUAGAAAAAUCAAUAGGUUUUCUAUAUGCCAGUAAUGUCUAAGCCAACAGCCAAAUCAAGAAUGCAACUCCAUUUACAAUAGUCAUGAAAAGAAUAAAAUAAUCGAGAAUACAGCUAACCAGGGAGGUGAAAGCUCUCUUCAAUGAAAAUUACAAAACACUGCUCAAAGAAAUCAGAGAUGACACAAACAAAUAGAAAAACAUUCCAUUCUCAUGGAUAGGAAGAAUCAACAUUGUUAAAAUGGCCAUACUGCUCAGAGAAGUAUACAGCUUCAAUGCCAUUCCUAUCAAACUAUCAAAGACAUUCUUCACAGAGUUAGAAAAGGCCAUGUUAGGCCAGACGUGGUGGCUCAUACCUUUAAUCAACACUUUGGGAGGCCGAGGCGGGCAGAUCAUGAGGUCAGGAGUUUGAGACCAGUCUGGCCAACAUGGUGAAACCUCCGUCUCUACUAAAAAUGCAAAAAUUAGCUGGGCAUGGUGGUAGGUGUCUGUAAUCCCAGCUACUCGGGAGGCUGAGGCAAAAUAAUCAUUUGAACCUGGGAGGUGGAGUUUGCAGUGAGCCAAGAUCGUGCCAUUGCACUCCAGCCUGGGCCACAUGGUGAGACUCUGUCUCAAAA